UAAGCGCCUAGCGCCGGUAAGGGUGAAAUGGUGCGGUAAGAGCGCACCGCGCGCGUGGCACCACGUCGCGGCACGGUAAACCCCGCCUCGAGCAAGAACAAAUAGGGGCGGACGCAGGCUUCACCGCCUGCACCGCGUGCCUGAGCGGACUCCCGGGUAGGUUGCUAGAGGCAGUCGGCGACGACUGUCCCAGAUGAAUGAUUGUCCACGACAGAACCCGGCUUAUGGCCGGCUCUUUCU
rnacentral:RNase_P_RNA from 1 species